rnacentral:rRNA from 1 species
UACGUAGGGUGCGAGCGUUAAUCGGAAUUACUGGGCGUAAAGCGUGCGUAGGCGGUCCGCGAAGUCUGAUGUGAAAGCCCCGGGCUCAACCUGGGAACUGCAUUGGAAACUAACGGGCUCGAGUGUGGCAGAGGGGGGUGGAAUUCCACGUGUAGCAGUGAAAUGCGUAGAGAUGUGGAGGAACACCGAUGGCGAAGGCAGCCCCCUGGGCUAACACUGACGCUCAGGCACGAAAGCGUGGGGAGCAGACAGG